rnacentral:tRNA from 1 species
CGGGGUAUGGCGCAGCUUGGUAGCGCACCUGCUUUGGGAGCAGGGGGUCGCAGGUUCAAAUCCUGUUACCCCGA